AGUUCUGAUGAACGCUAACCAGUAGACGGUAACCACAGUGAUUGGCAGAGCUUGGACGCCAAGUCUAACCUGCUCUGAGCUGAUGUGCACUGUUGGCUCCUGUUGUGCUGCACAGGCCUCCGUACAAACGGAACUCAAGAGCAUACACCACUCAUCUCUGCUAGUGGAUCACCUCUGAACGCUGUCUGCGCUGGGCUGAGGAUGCUCAUUACUGAAGUUCAAGGUUCUUACUGAUGUCACUGGAAAAUUUGUCUCUGCUCUGAGAAAUCACAGGGGUUAGUCUUUGUGACUCGUGAGGUGACUACACUAACACCUGGUGUUGAUAAGAUGGCAUGAAAACAGCCAGCUCUGGAAGUCGUGCGGAGUGAUGGCUCAGAAGUGAAUAGUGCUUGCUGCUCUUUCCAAGGACCCGAGAUGGGUUACCAGCACCCAUGUUCUCCAGAUCACAGUCUUCGCUAACUCCAGCUCCAGGGCUUCUAACCCCCUCUUCUGGCCUCCAUGGUACCUUUACUCAUGUGCCUGACAUCCUCCCACACAUACUUAAUGAAAAAUUAGAAUUAAAUCUUUAAUAAUAAUAAUAAAGAGUCCCGGAAGAGUUU
rnacentral:lncRNA from 1 species